rnacentral:lncRNA from 1 species
ACAGAGGGAUAGGACCUUGGUCCACUGGGGCUGGGGUGGCUGGAGAUGCUUUGAGAAUGAGCCCUGUGUGGGACAGGACAAGGUCCCCUUUCAUUUCUCCAGGCUCUGGCAGCAGCCCUGGCCCCAGGCUCUCCCCCUCCUACCAAGGUCAACCCGACCCUGUCCCGGGGAGCAUGGCCGCCUGGGGCAGUUGGGGUCAGAGGCUGGGGACUUGGGAGGAGCCCAGUGCGGAUGCUCAGACUCCUAUCCUCCCAGCCAGGGUCAGGCUCUGAGCAACUGCAGCUCUGGAUACCCUGAGUUCCUGAAGGUGACUGGACUUCCCCCUUCACCCUCCUUGCAGCCUCGGUGGUCCCCAGAAAGACCCCCACUGUCUGUGGCAUCAGACAGGCCAAGUGUGGAAUCCAGACCUGCUGAUUACAAGCCAGUGGCCUUGGGCAAGUCCGACUGCUUCUCACGUGAAGGUCGAGGGGACACACGACAAGCUGCCCACGACAGAAGAUGGCAGGCUGCAGAGAGGCCACUGCGUUCAGCUUCCUCUCAGAGUCAGGGGAAAUGAGGAUCACCAGGCUGGCUCUGAGUGCUACAUGCAAACUGGGAAACCCACCAUCUGAGGAGGAGAGUGACGGGAAGAGAAAGGAACUCCAAACUUAGCAAAGGUGGGAUUCACCUUGGCUUACCAGCUAUUCCUUUCUAGAUAUCUUCCUUUUGUUUUGUUUUUUUUGUGUGUGGAGGGGGACAGCAGAGAUCGAAUUCAGGACCUUGAGCUUUUGAGGCAGGUGUGGGUCCACUGAGCUAAAUCUCCGGCCCUCUAGGUAGCUUCCUGAAAGAGUUCAAGACAGUAUAUUAGAGUGAUCCAUGCAUUAUCCAUGUUUAUAGCAGCACAGUUCAUAAUAGCUAAAUCUUGGAAGUGGCCUGCCUUAUAUGUCCAUCAACAGAUGAAUGGAUAAAGAAAAUGGGCUAUUUAUACACAAUGAAGCACUUCUCUGUCAUAAAGAAGGAUAAACUUUUUGUAGGAAGAUGGAUGCACCUUGAGACCAUAUCAUUAAAUGAAAUAAAUCAGAUACACAAGCUUAAAUACCACAUAGUUUCUCUUCUAUGAGGAAACCCAAAAUAUAAACAGCAAAAUAAAAGAUAGAUAAUAGGAAAUAGGGAGAUAGAUAUUUUGCAAAACGGAAGGGGACCAAAAGAUGAAGGGAGGGAAAGGGAGAG